rnacentral:rRNA from 1 species
UGGGGAAUAUUGGACAAUGGGCGCAAGCCUGAUCCAGCCAUGCCGCGUGGGUGAAGAAGGCCCUAGGGUUGUAAAUCCCUUUCAGCGGGGAAGAUAAUGACGGUACCCGCAGAAGAAGCCCCGGCUAACUCCGUGCCAGCAGCCGCGGUAAUACGGAGGGGGCUAGCGUUGUUCGGAAUUACUGGGCGUAAAGGGCGCGUAGGCGGGGUAUCCAGUUAGGGGUGAAAGCCCGGGGCUCAACCUCGGUACUGCUUUUAAAACUGAUACUCUAGAGUCCGGGAGAGGGUCGCGGAAUUCCCAGUGUAGAGGUGAAAUUCGUAGAUAUUGGGAAGAACACCGGUGGCGAAGGGGGCGACCUGGUCCGGUACUGACGCUGAGGCGCGAAAGCGUGGGGAGCAAACAGGAUUAGAUACCCGCGUAGUCC